rnacentral:lncRNA from 1 species
GGGAAUUGUCAUUCUUCUCUCUGAGAAAAGUUUGCCCCUUUUUUGUAUCUCUCUCUUUGCUAUCAUUUGUAUGCAUUAAGAUUUCAGCAAGCUCCUCAAGUUGAAUUCAUUAACAUGUCAAACUAUUUGCUUACUAAUACUUUUAAUUUGAAGUGAUAAGAUGGUAUUUCUGAUGAGUUAUCUAAUUAAUUUUCAUUUUAAUAUAGGCUCUGAACCAAGUUGUCCUAUGGGACAAGAUUGUUUUGAGAGGUGAUAAUCCGAAGCUGCUGCUGAAAGAUAUGAAAACAAAAUAUUUUUUCUUUGACGAUGGAAAUGGUCUCAAGGGAAACAGGAAUGUCACUUUGACCCUGUCUUGGAACGUCGUACCAAAUGCUGGAAUUCUACCUCUUGUGACAGGAUCAGGACACGUAUCUGUCCCAUUUCCAGAUACAUAUGAAAUAACGAAGAGUUAUUAAAUUAUUCUGAAUUUGAAACAACA